CCUACGGGUGGCAGCAGUGAGGAAUAUUGGUCAAUGGGCGAGAGCCUGAACCAGCCAAGUCGCGUGAAGGAUGACGGCCCUACGGGUUGUAAACUUCUUUUGUCAGGGAGCAAUUGGGUCCACGCGUGGGCUUAGCGAGAGUACCUGAAGAAAAAGCAUCGGCUAACUCCGUGCCAGCAGCCGCGGUAAUACGGAGGGUGCGAGCUUUAUCGGGUUUUAGUGGGUUAAAAGGGUGUGUAGGGGGAAUAUAAAGUCAGCGGUAAAAAUUCGGGGCUAAACCCCGUAGUGCGGUUGAUACUGAUGUUCUUGAGUGGGCUAGAGGUAUGCGGAAUGCGUGGUGUAGCGGUGAAAUGCAUAGAUAUCACGCAGAACUCCGAUUGCGAAGGCAGCAUAC
rnacentral:rRNA from 1 species